CUUGUAGGUCACUCAGGACUUGCUUUAUGAAUCUUGGUGCUCCUGUAUUGGGUGCAUAUAUAUUUAGGAUAGUUAGCUCUUCUUGUUGAAUUGCGGGAAGCUCGAACUGGGUGGAGCCCACCACAGCUCAAGGAGGCCUGCCUGCCUCUGUAGGCUCCACCUCUGGGGGCAGGGCACAGACAAACAAAAAGACAGCAGUAACCUCUGCAGACUUAAAUGUCCCUGUCUGACAGCUUUGAAGAGAGCAGUGGUUCUCCCAGCACGUAGCUGGAGAUCUGAGAACGGGCAGACUGCCUCCUCAAGUGGGUCCCUGACCCCUGACCCCCGAGCAGCCUAACUGGGAGGCACCCCCCAGCAGGGGCAUACUGACACCUCACACGGCAGGGUACUCCAACAGACCUGCAGCUGAGGGUCCUGUCUGUUAGAAGGAAAACUAACAAACAGAAAGGACAUCCACACCAAAAACCCAUCUGUACAUCACCAUCAUCAAAGACCAAAAGUAGAUAAAACCACAAAGAUGGGGAAAAAACAGAACAGAAAAACUGGAAACUCUAAAAAGCAGAGCGCCUCUCCUCCUCCAAAGGAACGCAGUUCCUCACCAGCAACGGAACAAACCUGGAUGGAGAAUGACUUUCACGAGCUGAGAGAAGAAGGCUUCAGACGAUCAAAUUACUCUGAGCUAUGGGAGGACAUUCAAACCAAAGGCAAAGAAGUUGAAAACUUUGAAAAAAAUUUAGAAGAAUGUAUAACUAGAAUAACCAAUACAGAGAAGUGCUUAAAGGAGCUGAAAACCAAGGCUUGAGAACUACGUGAAGAAUGCAGAAGCCUCAGGAGCCGAUGCGAUCAACUGAAAGAAAGGUUAUCCAUUGGAUUACCUAGUCUACUCCAGACUUUAUAUGAGCCUCAGAAGAUUUGUCUGUGAAUACCACAGCCAUAGCCUUGAUCCUCAUCGAGUUGGGAGUUUCAUGAGAUUGUGGAACUAUACCUUGGUUCCUUUUCCAUAAGAUGGGACCAAGAAAUAGUUAAAACUAAAAACAGAUGUCACCUCACCAAGGGCUUUCCCUAAAAGAUAAAAUUAAUGGAUGGUGUAGUGAUCAGUACUGUGGGUCCUAGUAGUCUAACUUAGGCCACUUAAUAUAAUCUGUAUUUAAAACUAAAUUUGAUAUGAACUUUGGAGUCUUUAAAAACUAUUUACCUAUUUAACCUUUUUGUCUCUGUUUUAUCCUUGUUUUAUAGUUGUAAUUCUUUCUGAAAAGUUCUAAAUUAUUCUGGAGAACCAAAAGGAAGCAGGAUUUUUCCCCCUUUUAAGUCAGGAUAGACAGGGAAGCAAUAUGACUCUAGAUAAUUAACUUGGGAGUUCUGGCUGUCCUUGGGAGAGGGCCAGUGGCCCAGGAGGAAAGCCAGAUGGGGUCAGAGACCUCAAACUGACAGAUGUGGCAGUGGAGGGUUCCAGGAAGAAAGAUCAGAGCUUGCCCAGAAAAGAGAGCCACUUGCCCAGAUGCAAAACCCCAGAGGACUGAAGGUAAAGGCUUGUGCAGUAUUUUGGCUGAGUCAUGGGAGAAACUAGUCAGCAGCUAAGGUCAAGUUUAGGACAAAGAAUGCAUAUAAUUAAGAGGAAACCUCAGACAAACCCAAAUUAAGAGACAUUCUACUAAAUACCCGGUCUCUCCUUUUCAAAUGUGCCAAGUUUAUAAAGGACAAAGAAAGGCUGAGGAACUGUUCCAGAUUCAAGAGUAACAAAAGGACAUGAUGGAUUAGAGAGACAUGGCAACUAAAUACAACCUGUGAGUGCGGAUAAGAUCCUGGACUUGGAACCUUGGAUUUAGUGGGACAACUAGUAAACUUUGAAUAAGGCCUCUAUUGACUAGUUAAUAGUACUGAAUCAAUGUUAAUUUAUUGAUUUCGAUCAUUUAACUGUGAUUACAUAAGAAGAUGCCCUUGAUUUUAGGAAAUUCAUACUGAAACAUCUAGAGGUAAAGGAGUAUCAUGUGCAACCUUCAUUUAAACAUUUCAUAAUAAAGUGUGUAUGUGUGUCUGUGUGUGUGUCUGUGUGUGUGUAGAUAGGUGAUAGGUAGAUAGAAAGAUAGAAUGGUAAGCAAAUGUAGUACAUUUUUAAAAUUUGCAGACAAUCUAAGUAAAGGUCAUAUACUCUUUUAAAUUUUUUCUAUAAGUCUGAAAUUAUUUUAAAACAAAAAGUGAACGAUAAUAACACACAGUUAAGAAGAAAAAAAGACAGUCUCUGCCAUCAAGGAGCUCACAGCCUCAUGAAAACAGAUGGGCAAGUCACCAUAAAGACAUAAAUGUAGCUGAGCAAACUACAGAGUGUUAUAAGGGCAUGGAGGAUAGGAUAUAAUUUCUAGAAGUAAAAGAGAAUAAAAAUUGUCUAGGAAAGACAGUAAGUUUGAGUUAAGCAAAUUCAUUGUCUUCCUAGCCUUUAAUAAAUUAUUUAGCCU
rnacentral:lncRNA from 1 species